rnacentral:rRNA from 1 species
ACAAGCGGUGGAGUAUGUGGUUUAAUUCGAUGCAACGCGAAGAACCUUACCUGGUCUUGACAUCCCGGAGACCCUUAGGAAACUAGGGGGUGCUUCCAUCUGGAAGAAUCUGGAGACAGGUGCUGCAUGGCUGUCGUCAGCUCGUGUCGUGAGAUGUUGGGUUAAGUCCCGCAACGAGCGCAACCCUUGCCUUUAGUUGCCAACAGUUCGGCUGGGCACUCUAAAGGGACUGCCGGUGUUAAACCGGAGGAAGGUGGGGAUGACGUCAAGUCCUCAUGGCCUUUAUGACCAGGGCUACACACGUACUACAAUGGCCGAUACAAAGGGCAGCGACACUGCGAGGUGAAGCCAAUCCCGUAAAAUCGGUCUCAGUCCGGAUUGGAGUCUGCAACUCGACUCCAUGAAGUUGGAAUCGCUAGUAAUCGUGGAUCAGCAUGCCACGGUGAAUACGUUCCCGGGCCUU